rnacentral:rRNA from 1 species
UGUGGUCAAGUUUCUAAGAGCAAACGGUGGAUGCCUUGGCAUCUGGAGCCGAUGAAGGACGUAGAAAUCUGCGAUAAGCCUCGGGGAGCUGAUAAUCGAGCUUUGAUCCGAGGAUUUCCGAAUGGGGAAACCCCGCCAGGCGUUUUGCGACCUGGUGACUCCCGCCUGAAUAUAUAGGGCGGGUAGAGGGAACGUGGGGAAGUGAAACAUCUCAGUACCCACAGGAAGAGAAAACAACAUGUGAUUCCGUGAGUAGUGGCGAGCGAAAGCGGAUGAGGCUAAACCGAUCAUGUGUGAUAGCCGGCGGGCGUUGCAUGGUCGGGGUUGUGGGACACGUCACUCAGUUCUGCCGGACUGGGGCGGUUACAGCGCAUCAUAGUCGAACCGGUUUGAAAGCCGGGCCGUAGUGGGUGCCAGCCCCGUAGACGAAAUGGUGUUAUGGCCGGAUGUGUAUCCCAAGUAGCACGGGGCCCGAGAAAUCCCGUGUGAAUCUGUCAGGACCACCUGAUAAGCCUAAAUACUCCCAGAUGACCGAUAGCGGACAAGUACCGUGAGGGAAAGGUGAAAAGUACCCCGGGAGGGGAGUGAAAUAGUACCUGAAACCGUUUGCUUACAAACCGUCGGAGCCUCCUUAGUAGGGGUGACGGCGUGCCUUUUGAAGAAUGAGCCUGCGAGUUAGUGAUAUGUGGCGAGGUUAACCCGUGAGGGGCAGCCGUAGCGAAAGCGAGUCUGAAUAGGGCGUUUGAGUCGCAUGUUCUAGACCCGAAGCGAAGUGAUCUAUCCAUGGCCAGGUUGAAGCGACGGUAAGACGUCGUGGAGGACCGAACCCACUUCAGUUGAAAAUGGAGGGGAUGAGCUGUGGAUAGGGGUGAAAGGCCAAUCAAACUUCGUGAUAGCUGGUUCUCUCCGAAAUGCAUUUAGGUGCAGCGUUGCGUGUUUCUCGCCGGAGGUAGAGCUACUGGAUGGCCGAUGGGCCUCAACAGGUUACUGACGUCAGCCAAACUCCGAAUGCCGGUGAGUGAGAGCGCAGCAGUGAGACGGUGGGGGAUAAGCUUCAUCGUCGAGAGGGAAACAACCCAGACUACCAACUAAGGUCCCUAAGCGUGUGCUAAGUGGGAAAGGAUGUGGAGUUGCACAGACAACCAGGAGGUUGGCUUAGAAGCAGCCACCCUUGAAAGAGUGCGUAAUAGCUCACUGGUCAAGUGAUUCCGCGCCGACAAUGUAACGGGGCUCAAGCACACCACCGAAGUUGUAGAUUUCGCACUAUAGACAAG